CACAAGGUGGCCGAGUGGUUAAGGCAUUGGACUUGAAAUCCAAAGAUGCACAAGGUAACUGGGUUCUCAGGUUCUGGAGG
rnacentral:tRNA from 1 species